UACGGAGGGUGCGAGCGUUGUCCGGAAUCAUUGGGCGUAAAGGGCGCGUAGGUGGCCUUCUAAGCGUGCGGUGAAAGCCUGGGGCUCAACCCCGGGUCGGCCGUGCGAACUGGGGGGCUUGAGCACUGUAGAGGCAGGCGGAAUUCCGGGUGUAGCGGUGGAAUGCGUAGAGAUCCGGAAGAACACCGGUGGCGAAGGCGGCCUGCUGGGCAGUUUGCUGACACUGAGGCGCGACAGCGUGGGGAGCAAACAGGG
rnacentral:rRNA from 1 species